rnacentral:rRNA from 1 species
UUUAUGGAGAGUUUGAUCCUGGCUCAGGAUGAACGCUGGCGGCGUGCCUAAUACAUGCAAGUCGAGCGAACGGACGAGAAGCUUGCUUCUCUGAUGUUAGCGGCGGACGGGUGAGUAACACGUGGAUAACCUACCUAUAAGACUGGGAUAACUUCGGGAAACCGGAGCUAAUACCGGAUAAUAUUUUGAACCGCAUGGUUCAAAAGUGAAAGACGGUCUUGCUGUCACUUAUAGAU